rnacentral:rRNA from 1 species
AACGAACGCUGGCGGCAGGCCUAACACAUGCAAGUCGAGCGCGCCCUUCGGGGUGAGCGGCGGACGGGUGAGUAACGCGUGGGAACGUGCCCUUUUCUACGGAAUAGCCUCGGGAAACUGAGAGUAAUACCGUAUACGCCCUUUGGGGGAAAGAUUUAUCGGAAAAGGAUCGGCCCGCGUUGGAUUAGGUAGUUGGUGGGGUAAUGGCCUACCAAGCCGACGAUCCAUAGCUGGUUUGAGGGGAUGAUCAGCCACACUGGGACUGAGACACGGCCCAGACUCCUACGGGAGGCAGCAGUGGGGAAUCUUAGACAAUGGGGGCAACCCUGAUCUAGCCAUGCCGCGUGAGUGAUGAAGGCCUUAGGGUUGUAAAGCUCUUUCAGCUGGGAAGAUAAUGACGGUACCAGCAGAAGAAGCCCCGGCUAACUCCGUG